rnacentral:rRNA from 1 species
CAGUAGCCACGGUAAUACGGAGGGUGCGAGCGUUAAUCGGAAUAACUGGGCGUAAAGGGCACGCAGGCGGUUAUUUAAGUGAGGUGUGAAAGCCCCGGGCUUAACCUGGGAAUUGCAUUUCAGACUGGGUAACUAGAGUACUUUAGGGAGGGGUAGAAUUCCACGUGUAGCGGUGAAAUGCGUAGAGAUGUGGAGGAAUACCGAAGGCGAAGGCAGCCCCUUGGGAAUGUACUGACGCUCAUGUGCGAAAGCGUGGGGAGCAAACAGGAUUAGAUACCCCCGUAGUCCCUGUCUCUUAUAC